CGAACUCCCGACCUCAGAUGAUCCACCUGCCUCGGCCUCCCAAAGUGCUGGGAUUAGAGGCAUGAGACACCGCAGCCAGCCAACCUUUUUUUUUUUUUUUUGAAAAGAAACUAUUUUCCUAUUUUCUAAGGCUGUCAGAAUUGUCUGGGAUGAUGCACAUUUGCACAUUAAAUGCUUCGCACUGCACUUGGUACAUACAGCACACUCAGACAAGGCAAGAAAAUUAAAUAUUGUUAAUUUCACUCCUGUCCAGUGCUGCAACUCCUGAAACCUGAAGUCUGUGACUCACCAGUUCUAAGCCCCAGAGUCCUGAUGGGGCACCUCAAGGAGACACUUCAGCCACCUAAGUCAGCUGGACCACCCCAUGACACAGUCAUGGAGGUUCCAGUCUGAAUUCAGAGUCAAUGAUAAGGGAGGCUUCCGUGGCAGAGUGAAAAGCACACACCUGAGAAAUGAAAAGAAAUGGCAAAGGUCACACGUCUCAGGAUGAAUUGCACUGUGUGUGACACCCUAGCUGAAAUCCUAUCCCACAGGACCAUCAGCCUGGAAUGCAGUUUGAAGAUAUGUGCAGAAGAAAUGCCCAAGCCGACCCCGGACCUACAGUGAGAAGCAGAACAGCCCAGAGAAGCUCAGCCUAGGGCAACAGAGACAGCCUAGUCAACCUACAGAUCUGGGACAAUAAAUGCUUCUGCUUUUAAGCCACCGAGUUCUGGGAGGUGAUUUGUUCCACAGCAUUAUAGUGGCAAUAGCUGAUACUUCAAC
rnacentral:lncRNA from 10 species